UAUUAUUUGUGCUCGUAUAUCCGUCGAUCCUAUGUUAUAAUUGUUUGUUGCAGUUUGUUCUAUUUUUAUUUUACAUGGGGAAUGUCCAGAUGUUGAUGUAUGCUGGUAGAGUGUCAUUGUAGCUCAAGCUGGCAAAGGCUCUAGGAACGAUUGGACGUAAAAAAUAGAUGUUAGUACCUACCUACCUACCUACCUACCUACAUACCUAACGAAAUUUGAGUGAUUCUUGGUGAAUCCACUUGCUUUUCAUUCCUUGAAAAUGCUUCAGAUUUCUAAAUGAAGCCAGCUUUUUCUUAUGAUUUUCAGAACAAAAUUAUUGUCACUUCAAAUUGAUUAAGUUAUAGGCUCUGAAGCUACUUGUGUCUGGAAGCAUGCUGAGAUUUCUGAAGGACUCUAAGGCUGCUGUGAGCCGGCAGUUUGCCGGCGGCGGCCGCGUCCAUGCCGUGUUUGGUAAUGAGUCCUGCGACCUGGACUCGGCGGCGGCGUCUCUCACCUACGCCUACCUGCUGAGCUCGAUGGACCGGGAGACACUGUUUGUGCCCGUCCUCAACAUACCGGAACAGGAGUACCCACUGAAGACGGAGGUGACCUUCUUCCUGCACAAGCUCGGCAUCGGCAAGGAGCACUUGGUGUUCAGGCCCGAGUUGGACCUGGCCGCGCUGCACCGGGCCGGCCGUCUCCUCAUCACGCUGGUGGACCGGCACCGUCUGGACGGUCCGGACGCGCCGCUGCAGCCGUGUGUGGUGCACGUGCUGGACCACCACCAGCCCGACCGGCCGCUCUCCGAUGACGUGGUGAUCGAACCGGUCGGCUCGUGCUGUACCCUGGUGGCCGAGCGACUGUUCCAGCUGAAUCGGAGUCUGAUCGACCGAACGGUGGCCGACCUGCUGCUCGGCACCAUAGUGUUGGACACGGUCAACAUGUCUGCGGCGGCGCAGCGCGGUACGCCCAAGGACCGACUGAUGAUCUCCUUUCUGGAACCGCUCUCCUCAGGCGACUCUCCCGACCAGCUGUUCGAGAUGCUGCAGCGCGCCAAGGGCGACGUCAGCCGGCUCAGCAGCUUCGAGCUGCUGAGCAAGGACCAGAAGGCGGCUGAGGGCGCCGCGCUCUCGGCGGUGGUGUGCUCAGUGCCGAUGCUAGUCAAGGACUUUGUCCGCGCGCCGGACGCCGUCUCGGCGUGUAACCAGCUCUGCCAGUCGACCGGCCGCGACCUGGUGGUUCUGCUGGGCAGCCAGACGGGGGCCGAGUUCAGCCGCGACCUGGCCGUCUUCUCGGCUAAGGAUGAGGCGCGGAACCAGGUGUGUGCCGCCCUGGAGGGUGCCGUGACGCCCUGUCUGGGCCUCAGUCGAGUCAGCUCUCCUCACCAGCGGCUCACGCUGUUCAGCCAAGCGAACGUGGCCGCCUCGCGGAAGGCGGUGUUGCCGCUACUGCAGGCGUACCUGGCGGCGCUGCCGGCCCCGGCAGGCAGCGACUCGGGCGAGCUGUCGCCCGUGGGCCGUCCGACUCCGCGCAGAGCCUCGCCCCCGCCGUCUGCGCCGCCUCACCCCGCCCGACCAGAGGUGUCGGCUGACCUGAGGCCACCGAAUGGCAUUGACCUGGCCCUGAGCGCCCAGGUGGCUGCGCUUCUGGAACCGACCAGCACGGCGGGCAGCUCCCAGAGCUCAGCGCACAGCUCGGUCCCGUACACACCACAGAACAGCGUGGCGGACUCGGACGCCAUCGCCGACGUCACGCUGCCGUCCUUCAACUCGCGCGAGCUGCUGCAGCGCAUCGAGCUGCGACGCGGACCGCUCGGCGGCUUCGAGGGCGCCGACGACAUCGGCGCCUACCCGUUCACACCCAAAAACAGCUUCGUCGAAGAAGGGAGCACCCUGGAGGCGACGUAUCGGCACAUGAACAUGGCCGAGCUCGACUCGGACGCCAUACUGCAGCGGGUGCACGAGAAGAAACGUAACAACGAGCUGUUUGACGACAUUGAGGAGGAGGAGGCGGACGUGACGGGACCGGCGGCGGGCGCCACCGGCGGCACGCUGGUCGACAGCCGGGCCCCGAACGGUGUCACCAGGCCGGGCCCGCAGCAGAGGGCCGGCGACCGGUCAGAGGCCGGCUCCCGACACUCGGCCGACACGGGGAGGAUGCGGACGGAGCGCGGCACGGGCUCGGGUACCGCGACUCUGACCCAGACCGGCGCCGCCGGCGACCCGACCGGUAGCCUGAACGGGGACAGGGCGGCCCCGCAGUCGCCCGGGGCGGGAUACAGAGCCGCGGCGCUCAGUCCGGUCGAGGACGGCAGCCUGUACGACGACGACACAGCCACCUUCAAGUCGGCGCUCUCCUCCUCCGAAGCCAUCCGGCGACGGGACUCCCCCGCGGCGAUGUCGGCGGCCACUGACGGGUCCGGCGAUCCCGUGCCGCCGGGAAGCACCAACGGCACUCCUCCGGCGGCCAGCAGCGACCCGGCCCGGCUGUGGCGCGCCGGUGACGGGCGCACUGUGCGAGACCGGCUCGAGCACGGCCUCAGCGGCGGUGGCGACUCGUCCGGGCCGCGCUCGGUCAGUUUCGGCGAGCUGCCUCCCGGACACCACGGCUCACCGGGCGGCGACGCCGGUGGCGGACCCGAGUCGCUCAGUCAGCUCAGCCUGACGCCGCUCGACGAUGACUACUACGAGGAUUUCACGCUGCCCGGAACCCACGAGGGAGUCAUGUCGCGACAGAAGAGUUUCCGGCGCCGUGUGCGCGAUACGCCAGUCUCUGAGCCGGACGCUGACCGUAUCGAGCACCUGGUGCGGGCGGGCGAGCUGGAGCGGCACGGCAGUAUCAGGAGGAAGCUGGUGGCGCCGGCGGCGUCUCUAGGGGACUCCGGCAGUCCGGGCCGGUUCGGCCACGACCUGCGGGAGAUCGAGCAGCUGAUGGAAGAGGAGGGUGAGCAGGUGGCCAUCGAUGACCUUCCCAGCCUCGGGCCCGUGCUCGGCGCCUCCACUCCCAAAACCCCCGGCGAGCCGACCGACCAGCCGGCCUCGCUGCCGCCGUUCAGCGACGAACCGCUCAGCAUCGAGAUGAGCAGCACCAUCAUGAAAGUGCGCGAGUGUCUGGACCAGGAGAAGCUGAAGGACAUUUAUACCAUCAGCGGUCGGCUGCAGGACAUCCUGACCCAGGAGGACAUUCAGGAGAUCCUGGACCACCCGGAGAUGUUCGCGCAGCUGCUGGGUGAGGGUAUCCUGGCCGAGCUGCGCAGUUCCAUGAGUGAGUCGCAGCAUGGCUCGCCGUCACGGCCGGCGGCGGCGGCGGCGGUGACCACGGACGGUCCGUCGUCUGGUUCGGCGAGUCCGGCCAGCGCGCGGCACACCAUCACUGUGCAGGCGGAGGUGAGCGCCGAGCAGGCCGAGGACUCUUCCUCGCCCUCCAUCUCCCCCUCUCCGUCGUUCGCGGAGAACAGGUCCGCCAGUGUGGUGGAUGUGUCGGCUGCCGCGGCUCAGUCCGCAGACGCCGUGUCACCCGUCCCCAGCGAGGCGACGGAGGUCGCCUCUCCGGCCCCCUCCCCGCGCAGCAGGAUCCUCCCCCCGGCUGAGCUGACCUCGGAUCACGAGUUGACCGCUCCGUCGGACCGCUGCGGACCCUCGUCGUUACCGGCCGAGCCACCGUCUCGCGCCGACGCGGCGUCCCCUCCGCCGGGCCCGCUGUGGAGGAGCGGCUCGCUGCGCCGAAUCGGCGGCCACCGGCCGCUGGAGGCGCUCUUUGCCGAGAGUGACGCGCGCCCGGUGGCCGGGCAGAGACGGAUCGUGGCGCCCACAAUCAGUCUGGACGACUCGGAGACGCCCGAGCGGGACGGUACGUUUGAAGAGCCGGUCGGCAAACCCGCGGACGCCGACAGUGGAGUUAGCGAGACGGGUACUGCUGACUGGCUGGCCAGCCGGGAGAACCUCGAGGCGAGCCGGGAGAACCUCGAGGCCAGCCGGGAGAACCUCGAGGCCAGCCGGGAGAACCUCGAGGCCAGCCGGGAGAACCUCGAGGCCAGCCGGGAGAACCUCGAGGCCAGCCGGGAGAACCUCGAGGCGAGCAGAGAGAACCUCGGUCCGGAGGAUGACGCCGAGACACCGUCAACACCAAAGCCUCAUAGUCGUCCCAGGCCGUCCCCAGACCGGCCGUCCACCCUGAGCGGGGCGCCCCGGCGCAAAAAGAUCAGCGUCUCGGCGGACGUGCUGGCCGACCAGGACACCAUGUCGGGCUCGAGUCAGCUGGAGAGUGAGGAUGACGGGGCGGCCACGCCGACCGAGGCGCUCGCCACAUCCGAGCUGCUGGAUACACUCACUCCGGACGACAUCGAGACGCCCGACGAACUGGAGGCCAGCAUCUUGGAGCGUCUUCCGCCGGCGGAGCCAAUACCCGAGUACACGGCCCGGGAGGAGAUAAACGACGAGCGCGCGUGGCGCAGCUGUGUCGUGGCCGGCCUGGAGAGGCGGAUAGACAUGAAGGUCAUCGAGCCCUACAAAAAGGUGCUGUCCCACGGCGGGUACCUGGGCCUGGAGGGUGACCAGGCCAUCAUUGUGUUCUCCGCCUGCUACCUGCCCGACCGCAGUCGGAGAGACUACUCGUACGUCAUGGACAACCUCUUCCUGUACGUUCUGACGACGCUGGAUUCGCUGAUCGCCGAGGAUUACAUCCUGAUCUACCUGCACGGCGCCACCCAGCGCUCCUGUAUGCCGUCGUUCGGCUGGCUGAAGCGCUGCUACCAGAUGGUGGACCGGCGUCUGAGGAAGAACCUCAAGGGGCUCUACCUGGUGCACCCCACCUUCUGGGUGAAAACCAUCGUGGCUCUGACCAGGCCCUUCAUCAGUUCAAAGUUCAGCCGCAAACUGCGGUUUGUCGCCAGUCUGAUGGAGCUCAGUCAGCUGCUGCCCAUGGAUCACGUGUGCAUCCCCGACCGCGUCAAACAGUUCCAGUCUCGAUUAGACACCUAACCCUUCUCUCUGCUUUCACGCUAAGAUACGAUGAGAUAAAAGCGAGCCUGCAGACUAGACUUCCAGCUGAUGAUCGCUGAACGAAAGAAACAACUCGGCAUACGCUAACCACUGGGCCGUCUUCACUGCUGCGAUCUGUCAGCGGGACGGAGAAGCUUCAGUUCACCGUACUGCCGCCGCCCGUAUGGACUGCGGCGGCAGGAUGAUGCUGCACCAGUCUAGUCGCGAGAACUGGCGAGGAAUGGGAUGAAACUAUCCCGGAGACUUCGAUUUGAUACCGGCUGCCCGAGAGGGGCGGGGAGGUUCUGAAACAUUGUUCUCAAACGAGACACCGCCAUCCCUCCCUCUGCCCAGCUGUGACGGUAGUGACGCGAAUCACAGCCGUCGCCGAGACGCGAUAUGUGCAUUCCAUUUUUUGUGUUUGGGUCGCCCGUGUGAACGCGCUGUCUCUGUGAAGUCACGUGAGUGAGUUUGUUACUGUACCGCUUGCGACGAAUAUGACCGCGGAAACGGCGGCUGGGCGGACAUGUGAACCAAGGCCGUAUGAGAGGUGAACAAUAUAAUAUCGUGGAGAAGUGUACCUAUGGGGAUGCAACGUCGCCUUAAUUUUGAUGGUAUUUAAACGAUUGUUAACAUUUGUAGUACUUCUCGUACGUUAUCCUUAACAGCAGAAUAUGAGAGAAAGGGAUCACAAUUGAAAUACAUGUGUGAUGUGAA
rnacentral:misc_RNA from 1 species